GGGAGAGCGGCAGCCCACGGUUCCCGGGCAGCGUGGCGGGCAGUGCAGCGCCGGCCGGCAGGGAAACAGGUACGAGCUACUCACCUAGCUGCUGACUUCAGGAAGACUAAGCACGGUGACCAACCAUGGAGAUGAGGCCAUCACAGAUGAAAACCCUCAGUGGCAACAGUUAGAGGAUGUCAGGAAAUCUUAUCAAGAACCAUCCUCUCCAGGCUGAAGGUUUCACCAAGAAGGAUCAAGAAAGUUUGAUCUGGAAGUUAAAUAAGUUAAUAUAUGGAGUGAAAAAAAGUGGAAAAUGCUGGAAAUGAUCAUUUAAAUAACUCACUAGAAAAACUGGGAUUUAUUCAAAAUGAUAUAGAUCUAUGUACAUACAAAUUAAGUGCAAAGGAAGGGAAAACUAGUCUUUCAAUAUAUGUGGAUGAAAUGCUUACAUUUGCUCAGAAUGAAGAGCUGAGGCAGAGGGUGAAAACUUUUCUAGAAAGUUGCUUUGAAAUCAAGAACAUGGGCAUGGUGUCCCACAUGUUAGGAGUGAAAUUUGAAAACAGUGAAGAUAGAAUGGUUAAUCUUUCUCAGAGGAAGUAUAUUUAUUAAUUAUUUGAAAUAUUUAGACUUAAAAACGCCAAGGGAGCCAAGACGCUGAUGGAAAUGAAAACAAAUUUCCUUGAUGAAAAGUGUGAUGAUGAAGUUAAAAGUCUUACGUAUCGUAAGCUUAUUGCUGGACUCCUUUACUUUUUACAGAGUACUUGAUCAGACAUAGCUUUCUCAGUAGUAAAGUUGCCACAAUGUCAUUCAAAAUUUAACGAGACCCAUUUGAAAGCAGCAUACUGUCAUAAAAUGACAUUGCAUCAGGGAGGUAGUAAUGGAGGGAAUGAUUGAGAUUCAAUGGAUAAAAUUCAAGCAGACUUGUUAACAAAAUCACUGAGCAUAAUAUGCACAAGUAUCAUUGUAAGUAAACAGAUAUCACUUUGAGGGGGCCAAAGGAGGUGAGGGGAGGGGCGACGGAGUGUUAAGUAUUAAACAAGUGGACAAGAGCACUUUUAUUUAUUCCUUUUUUGUGACAUGACUGGAUUAUCUUUGAUCUUGUUUGAAAAGAUAAUGAAGAGGUAAGAAGCCUUUGUUCUUUUAAAAAGAUGUUUAGUUUCCUCUGUUUUAAAGAGUUCACAGAUUUUUCUUUCAUAUUAAUGUUUGUGAUAUGGCCAUUUCCUUCUACUCCAACAGAGGCUUAUGAAGUCAACCAAAAUUGGGAAAGGCACUGAGAAAUGUUAGUGUUUCAACAAUGAUUAAGGCUAUUUAUUUACGAAUAUCUCAGAAUAAAUGUUGGAAAAAAAUUCCUUCUCAAUGUAAUACACGAGACAUUCAUUAAAAUUAUCAAGAGCUGCAUUGAAAGAGAAUUGGAAUGUAAUCGAAGGAACAAGCUGGUCUAGGAAAUGGACAUGGCAAAGUAGACAAUUCAUGAGAAGUGAAUAAAUUUAUAUAAUGAAGUAAAUAUUAUCACUAUGCCACCUGGGAUUUACAGAUUAUGAGAAAUUUGUUUAAUAAAUUUAAACAAAAUUUGUACAAAUAGCCUUUGAAAUGCAAGACAUCUAUUCUAUGUAUACUAGUUUAUUAAG